GUACUCUCACACUUCUCAUCCUUUGGAUUUGGAGCGGUGGACUUGGGUGUUGCCGCUUUACGGUGGCUCACCUCUAAUGCAUUCGUGCAACUCUUGGUUGGACAUAGUACGGCGUGAUAAGUGUCUUCGCCGGCACCUCGCAAGAGGGUGGCUGAUUGAGAGCUCUGUGCUUUCAAACCGUCCUUGGACAAUGACUGACA
rnacentral:misc_RNA from 3 species